GUCGCACAGCUACCUGGUAGGUGACUGGAGGUGUUGAUCAGUGCUUGGUGGGAUUUUGCUGAUGUGGCCCCAAGCCCGCCUCCCUCCCCACCCUGCGAUGGCAGAAGAAACUCGACAAAGUAAAUUGGCAGCAGCCAAGAGAAAGUUAAAAGAAUAUUGGCAGAGAAACAGCCCUGGUGUUCCAGCAGGAGCCAAGAGGAACAGGAAAACAAAUGGCAGCAUCCAUGAGACAGCCACUUCUGGUGGUUGCCACUCACCUGGAGAUUCAGCAACAGGUAUCCACGGGGAGAGCCCUACAUCAUCUGCUACCCUGAAGGAUCUGGAGAGCCCGUGCCAAGAACUAGCAGUAGUCCCAGACUCGAGGUCCGUAAAAGUCAGUCAACUGAAGAACACCAUCAAAUCUUUGGUAAGAGUCCACUGGGGUCCCCUGAUUCCACGCUGCCAAUCCUGGGCUCUAGUUUCCCCUUGGGGCCCUGAAGAAAGGGGACGGCGGCCCCUGGUGCCAAGGGCGAAUAGGGAGCUGGGGCGCCCAGGCCUCACCUGGAGGGACCCCGGAGCAUGCAGCAUGGCUCUUUUUUUGCUGCCCUGUUUGCUGACUCUCCCCUCUCCAGACGCCCCUGCUCGAGUCCUUGCUACACACGCCCUGGGAUUGUUGCCUCUUGGGGAAGUGCUAGCCUGACUGGUUGUCAGGGGCCCCGUAUUUCUGCCAUGACUCAGUCCCUAAUUUGCUCUUUGAUUCUGGACAAGCCACCUCUCCUUUUUGGGCUCAUGUUUCCAGAGGAAGUAGUGAGUAUCAAAGGUCUCUGUUAGCUCUCGAGUCUGAGAUUUAAAGGCCUCCUAGAAUGGAAACCUCAGGGCCAAAGGCUCCUGUCUGUCCUUUUCCGCCCUAAAUCUUCUGUGAAGAACCGUACUUGGCCCGUACGUGCUCAGUAAAUGUUUAUUGAAUGAAUGCACUUUUCUAAAUCACAAGCUGGCAGAAGGGGGGGCCUUUCUCAAACUCCAUCUCUAGAGGUUUAUGUUACUGUCCUGUCAAGAGAUUCCAGAUUCAGACCUUGAGUUCUGUGGCUGUGGACAAAAGCCAACAAAGACCCAAAUCCUCUGUCCUUGGGAGCUUGAGGAGAGUUUACCAGUUCGAGUUCCCACUGGGUCUGAGAACUUUGCCUUUAAAAUCCAUUCCUGGCCCCUGCCUACCACUUCCUGCUCUGGGGAAUAGAGUUGAGGGGGCCACCCUCCAUCACCUUAAUGUGACUCUCCCCACAGAAACAACAGAAUAAACAAGUGGAACAUCAGCUGGAAGAAGUAACAUGAUUUCUUUGUUUGCUCGCGACAUGACUGCUCGGUUUGGGGGACACUCAGAUGUAGAGGCCCCGAGUCUCGUCUCACCCACUCCCAGCCUGGGGAAGAAGGCUCACCCCCCAGAGUCCACCCCAUCCCCCACAGGGUCCCUGAUAACCCGGUCCCAUGGGUGGGCCUGUCCCGGGGCAGGGGCAGUGGUGGCAUUCUGGGGACAUGUCUCUUGCAGUACCAUCUCUGCCUCUGCCUGGUUAGAUCUCUGUCUUCCUCUUCCUACAGGAAAAGAAAGCAAACAACGAGAAACAGAAAGCCGAAAGGGAGCUAGAGGUUCAAAUCCAGAGAUUGAACAUACAGAAAGGGAAACUAAAUACGGACCUGUACCACACGAAACGUUCUCUCAGAUACUUUGAAGAAGAGUCCAAGGAUCUGGCCGUCCGUCUGCAACAUUCAUUGCAGCGUAAAGGAGAGUUAGAGCGGGCUCUCUCUGCUGUCACCGCCACACAGAAGAAGAAGGCGGAGAGGCAGUUCUCCAGCCGCAGUAAAGCACGUAUGGAGUGGAAGUUAGAGCAGUCCAUGCGGGAGCAGGCACUGCUGAAAGCGCAGCUGACACAGUUGAAGGAGUCACUUAAAGAAGUCCAGCUAGAGAGGGAUGAAUAUGCUGAACAUCUAAAAGGAGAGAGGGCCCGGUGGCAGCAGAGGAUGAGAAAAAUGUCGCAGGAGGUUUGCUCGUUGAAGAAGGAGAAGAAGCAUGAUAAAUAUCGGGUAGAGAAGCUGGAGAGGAGCUUGUCCAAACUCAAACACCAGAUGGCUGAACCUCUGCCCCCGGAGCCCCCAGCAGUGCCCUCUGAGGUGGAGCUGCAGCACCUGAGGAAGGAACUAGAGAGAGUGGCAGGAGAGCUCCAGGCCCAGGUGGAGUACAAUCAGCGCAUAAGUCUCCUGAAUGAGGGGCAAAAGGAGAGGCUUCGGGAGCAGGAGGAGAGGCUUCAGGAGCAGCAGGAGAGGCUUCCAGAGCAGGAGGAGAGGCUUCAGCAGCUGGCCGAGCCACAGAACAGCUUCAAGGAGCUGAACAAUGAGAACAAGAGCGUACUACAGUUGGAGCAGCAAGUAAAGGAGCUGCAGGAGAAGCUAGGCAAGGAGCGUCUGGAAGCUGCCAGCCAGCAGAACCAGCAGCUAACGGCCCAGUUGAGCCUCAUGGCUCUCCCUGGGGAAGGAGAUGGAGGAGGACAUCUGGACAGUGAGGGGGAGGAGGCACCUCGGCCCAUUCCUAGCAUCCCACAGGACCUGGAGAGCAGGGAGGCCAUGAGCGGCUUUAUGGACCACCUGGAGGAGAAGGCAGACCUGAGUGAGCUGGUGGAGAAAGAAGAACUUGGAUUCUUCCAGUACUACAGAGAGAGAUGCCAUCAGAAAGUUUAUCACCCUAUAACAAAGCCAGGGGGCAGUGCCAAAGAUGCAGCACCGGGAGGAGGACACCAUCAGGCUGGCCCUGGACAGGGAGGAGAUGAAGGUGAAGCUGCUGGAGCUGCAGGAGAUGGUGUUGCAGCUGGUGGCGACUACAAGGGACACAGCAAAUUCUUGGUGACUGCCCAGAACCCUGCUCAUGAGCCCAGUCCAGGAGCCCCAGCCCCCCAGGAGCUUGGGGCUGCCCACAAGCAUGGUGAUCUUUGUGAGGUGAGCCUCACUGACAGCGUGGAGCCUGUGCAAGGAGAGGCCAGGGAGGGUUCUCCCCACGACAACCCUACUGCACAGCCGAUCGUGCAGGACCACCAGGAGCACCCAGGCUUGGGCAGCAACUGCUGUGUGCCAUUCUUUUGCUGGGCUUGGCUGCCAAGAAGAAGGAGAUAAACAUCACCAUCGUCAAAGAGCUGCUGAAGAAAUUUUUAAAAAAGAAACAAAGUUAUGGGGUUAAUCUCCUACACAAUUCAUUUACUUCGUUUGAAUGUUAUAGCCACUUAUGAUUAUUUGUGUUUCUAAUUUAUAGUUUAAGUUUAUUUGUAAAUAGUUAAAAGAGAGUGGGUCUCUGUGGCUUUCACUGAUGUUCACUCUGGCAUACUUUCGCAAUUUUCUUUUUCAAUUUCAUAAUUGUAGGUCAUUAGCAUGCAUAUUGAGUUUGCCCUUACGUGGUGGGAGUUCAAACACACAAAGACCCACUAUUUGCACAAAACUAUUCUUGCUGGUUUGGAAUAGGCUGCCAUGUGUUUUUAAUGUUAUUGCAGCAUGUAUAUUCAUUACAGAAUUCAGAUAAAAUGUGCCUAUGUUCUGCUGUUGUUUGAUCUAAUCUUAAUCACAGUGAGCUCUUCAUUAGCACAAUAUGUGGUUUGCCCCAAGUGUGCACUAUUUAAUACUUUGUAAUAUGCCACCAAGAGUACUGACAUUUAGAGUUGUUUAAAGGCCGAGAACUGGAAACAGCCUUUCCCUCAUUUUCUGUGUAUUGGUGAUGGGAGUAAUAACAUUUUGGGGGAGCUUUUUAAAUUUCACAGAAGAGGAAAGUUGCCUGCUCUGGCAGGUAUGUGCAAGAUAGAGUGUGUUUCAUUUGUUCUGUUGCCAAGAAUUAGUGCUGUACUAUUGUAGUUCCUUUAGGAUUUGUAUGUGCUCUGGGCUCAUGAAGAUAUUGCAUCAUGAGCUUCAGCAGUUGUACUCUUUUUUGAUGACCUAAAAAGGGCUUAUUUCUGAGGAAUGAAAGGUUCCCAUCAUUGACUACGGAUGUGGAAAACCUUUCCUAGCUUAGAGCAUUUGUAUCUAUAUUUUAAAGUCAGAGUUCAUGUUACCUGUUUUAAUCACAUGACUGCAUGUCCCAGUACACAAAAGGGCACUGGUUGGCAUUCUUCUUAAUGUAUUUAGUAAAGAUCAGAAGAAAUCCUUUAAGAGUUCAAAUGUCCCUGGAACAGGCAUACAGGCUCUAGUCAAGAAUGAAUUAGAGUGAAGGAAAGCUGUGUGACACCUGGCAUUCCUCUGUUCAUGGAGCUUCUUUGAGGCUUGAAGAUUGAUUUUACCAUCUAGACCACUCUGCCUAUUCUUCAACCACCUUGGUUACUUUGACAUAGGAAUUGACUUCUUUUCCUUGAAUGGAAAACACUUUGAAAUAAUAAUAAACAUUGUUAUAAACUAAUAUAUGUGAGAGUGCUUAGUUGAAACAAAAAGGAGUUUUAGUAGACAGUAUUAUACUAUCUUUGAAAAUCAAGGAGAAGUUUAUGCAACUUAAAAUGUGUACAAACUGCAGUGCAAUCUACUGUUGGUGAAUGUCAGUGUAUUAUCAGGAAACAUGUCUAUACAAUCACAGAGUUAUAUUUCCUCACAAACUUCUUUGUGAAGAGUGAAAUGUGUUUCUGUACCUCUGGGUUUCACUUACGGGCAUAUUUUGUGCAGUAUUUAUGUGAUUGUGCCUAUGCAUGAUGAAUGAAUGAAUUUCAGUUGUACAUUGCCUAAAUCAUAACUUGAUGAUGCUUGGGAAAGACUCAACAGUUAAAACUUCAUGAAGUUCUAAUGUCUGUGUUCCAAAACACAUCACAUUAUUAGGAUGUAGGGAGAUAUGUAUGUGUGCUCCCUGGGGUGGGGAUUUCUAGUUACUAGACCAUCUCCAUUUUUAGCAUUUGGCAUCCUCAUGAUACUUUUAUAAAUACGACAUUAACAGGAGAGCAGCAGUACGAUUUUGCCGAUGGAAUAACAGAUUUGCCGGCAAUCACUGAAAGAGUGCAAACAUCGGGUCCUUGUGACUUCAACGGACUCUUCCAAAUUGUAUGAAUGUAUCAAUGUAUUAGAUAAACCCAGUUUCAGAAUGAUAAAGAAAAAAUGUUAGACCAAAUAAUGCGGCUAGUUAACAGUGGUACGAUUUCUCGCCCGUGGCUUUAAAAUGCACUUAAAGUCCUGUCCUUGCCUUUUAUUUUCUGAACUUGAUGUUUUUGCAUUCUUUGAGUUCAGUUUAAAGACAACUACGAGCAUCUGUAACCAAUCUGACAAUAAUGUGUUCAUCAGGUGCCUGUGGAUUAAAUCACAUACUGGCAUAUUUAAGCUGAAUGUCAAUCUGGAAAAUAAAUUGACUGUAUUAACGGAAAUACCACUCUUUGUGUAGAUAUUUGUCGUAUAUUGAAGAAAAAGCUAAAAAGAAUGGAAAUCGCAUGACUAUAACUUAAGUCUUUCUUCAAAGUGCAUGCAGUCUUUUGCGAUACCUCAUUCAGCCAAGUAUUGGUAUUCUUCCUCAUUCGGUAUAAGGCAGCUUUCAAUUUGCUUAGAGGGCAACAUUGGAAGGUUAGAGUUCAUCAGAAACAGAAUUCUAAAAUGUGAGUUCAAUUCAAUAAAUUUGAAUUUCUGUAGGAAGAAUCAAAUCACCGAUUUAAAGAUUGCAAUAUAUAAUAAUCAUUUUUAAAGUAUUGGAUUAAAUCUGAUAGGUUUUCCAGAAAUGAACAAAAAUCAGCUCUAAAACCAAAGCUGAUUUUUAGAAAAUUUGAAAAUGUAAAUCAGCCCUAUCCAUACUAUAGUUUCUCUAAAACUUUAUCUGAAAGAGUCAUUUUAAAAUAACUAUUAAACAAUGUAACUGCUAUCUUAAUGUUCUGAAAUAAGUUAAAACAUUUUAAAAUAUGAAUACUGUAAAGGAAAUAAACGGUGGGAAGGAAAAGUAGAGAAAGAAAUGCCAAUUCCAGUCCAAAGCUUUAUUUGCCAAGUUUUCUUAGAAUGAAUUUUACCAAUUUAUGAAUUCUUGUAAGCGGAAUGUAAAACGGAAAUACUGAAAGACUUUUGCCUAAAGUGGCAUUAUUGACUGCUGGUGUGAUGCUACUGUAAUGUAAUAAAUUAUUAAGUUGUUGCAAA
rnacentral:misc_RNA from 1 species